AUGGGAGAGGAAUCAAAAUCACAUGAUGUGUCUCAACUCUACAAAGGCCAUUGGAUGUACUGUUGUCAACAUUGGCACGCAGGAUUUAGUGGAAGGAAGGUUUUGGGCCAUCAUAUUUCCCCGAGAAUCAAGGAAAAGGAAGAGGAAAGUAAAAUGUUGAUACAUGAUCUGUUGCAAGUGUUUACGUCGCGCAGAAUACAUUUCUUCAGAGAAACCGUUGGUUGUGUGCAGAAUAUAUUUCUUCAGAAAAUGUGUUAUUGUGCAGAAACUACAAUGAAGUUGUCGGGGAGAAGAUCCAGUGAACAAAGCUACAUUGAGUUGGGUCAAAGUGACUCGUCCUUGAAACGGUCUAUUGUGCAUCGAAAGUCACGUUCAUCUCUGGUAAAUUUCACCGCAGCCUCCGUCGUACAUGUGCUUCGAUCUAUUUUCGUAUUCUUUUCUUGGAUGUUUGACAAAUGCUUCACAAACUAA
rnacentral:rRNA from 1 species